rnacentral:tRNA from 1 species
AGUUGAUAGCUUAGUUGGUAAAGCACUUGUCUAGCGAAUAAGGGUCGUGAGUUCAAAUCUCACCUGAGCUG